GGAGCAUGAGAAACGGCUACUAUUUCUAAGGAAAGCAGCAGGCGCGCAAAUUAUUCAAUGGAAACAAUUUUCCGAAAUAGUGACAAAAAAUAUCAAUGCUGGAUACUAUGUAUUUAGUAAUUGGAAUGAGUACAAUUUAAAUCCCUUAACAAGUAACAAUUAGAGGGCAAGUCUGGUGCCAGCAGCCGCGGUAAUUCCAGCUCUAAUAGCGUAUAUUAAUAUUGUUGCAGUUAAAAAGCUCGUAGUUGAAAUUUGGAACUUUAUUAUAUUGGUUUACCUUUUGGUGAACUAUAUGAUGGGUUUCUUCCUACUAGAGUUCGAUUCUGUUCUUAACUGAAUGGAGUAGCUAUCUCUCGGGGUAGUCAAUUGGUUAUUAUAUCUCCACUAAUGAGCAGAGAGGAGUAAAAUACUUCAAAGUAAGUUAUGUGGGUCAAGGUAUGAUGAUUAAUUGGAGUUCUAGUUCAUUUACUUUGAGAAAAUUAGAGUGUUUAAAGCAGCUCUUGGGGCACUGAAUACAUUAGCAUGG
rnacentral:rRNA from 1 species